AGAGUUUGAUCAUGGCUCAGGACGAACGCUGGCGGUAUGCUUAACACAUGCAAGUCGAACGAGACGAGAUGGAAGUGCUUGCACUGAAAUCUUAGAAAGUGGCGAACGGGUGAGUAACGCGUGGGUAACCUGCCCUAUGGAAAGGAAUAGCCUCGGGAACCUGGGAGUAAUGCCUUAUAAUACAUUGAAGUCGCAUGGCUUUGAUGUUAAACGCUCCGGUGCCAUAGGAUGGACCCGCGUCCCAUUAGCUAGUUGGUGAGAUAACAGCCCACCAAGGCGACGAUGGGUAACCGGUCUGAGAGGGCGAACGGUCACACUGGAACUGAGACACGGUCCAGACUCCUACGGGAGGCAGCAGUGGGGAAUAUUGCGCAAUGGGGGCAACCCUGACGCAGCAAUACCGCGUGAGUGAAGAAGGUUUUCGGAUCGUAAAGCUCUGUUAUUGGGGAAGAAAAAAAGACGGUACCCAAGAAGAGAGUCCCGCCU
rnacentral:rRNA from 1 species